UACGAAGGGGGCUAGCGUUGCUCGGAAUCACUGGGCGUAAAGCGCGUGUAGGCGGCCCGGUAAGUCCGCUGUGAAAGUCGGGGGCUCAACCCUCGAAUGCCGGUGGAUACUGUCGGGCUAGAGUGCGGAAGAGGCGAGUGGAGUUCCUGGGUGUAGCGGUGAAAUGCGCAGAUAUCAGGAGGAACACCAAUUGCGAAGGCAGCUCGCUGGGACGUGACUGACGCUGAGACGCGAAAGCGUGGGGAGCAAACAGG
rnacentral:rRNA from 1 species